rnacentral:rRNA from 1 species
AGGACGAACGCUGGCGGCGUGCUUAACACAUGCAAGUCGAGCGGUAAGGCCCUUCGGGGUACACGAGCGGCGAACGGGUGAGUAACACGUGGGUAACCUGCCCUGUACUGUGGGAUAAGCCUGGGAAACUGGGUCUAAUACCGCAUAUGACUGCAUCCUGCAUGGGGUGUGGUGGAAAGUUCUGGCGGUACAGGAUGGGCCCGCGGCCUAUCAGCUUGUUGGUGGGGUGAUGGCCUACCAAGGCGACGACGGGUA